GCUAAGAGAAAAAGUUUUCUGCUCUGUGAUGAGCCAUCAAUCAAUCUCCUAAAAUUUUAUUAUCUUCUUUCCUAGGUAUUUAUCCCUUGGUUCGCUGUGCCCCUGCGCUAUUAGAAAGAAAAAAAGAAGAAGAUCUUAAUCUACCAAUUCAUCUUCAUCCUGUUCUUCAUCAGCAAAAAAGCACAAAACAAGGAAGAGACGGUGGUGUGGUGGCCAAAGAAGCUAUGUCAUCAGCUGAUUCAACUUUUGCUCAAGUGCAUUCAACUUUUGUUGGAUCAAUCGAAGAAGUUGAGGGAUCACUAGGUCAAUAUUUUAGAUGUUCCGAAAACAUUAAAGAAAUUGAUGAAAAAGAUUUAAUGGGAAUGGUAUCUUCAAAAAUCCGUUCUUUUGUCGAUAAUAGCCUUUUGUCUAAUGAACAAGGACAUUUUGAUGCUAAACAUUUUGGGAUUGAAGUUGAUAUGUGGUUAGGCUUUGAGGAUGCCAAAAAAGUUGAUUAUAUUAAAAGUCUAUGCAGGGUCAAGGAAGGUGCCCACCAGUUGAUGCCCACGAGAGAGUGUCAAGGGCGUUCUUCAAGAUCAAUUUAACCAUGUAAUGGUUGAAUGGCGGUGACUGUUUGUAAUAUGAAUUUAGAAUUAAUGUUUAUCUAAUUGUGAGUUUAUCUAAUCCACGUGUCGACACAUGAACCACUCUGUUUUUCACUUAGGAGCAUGUAAUGCCUUGACAGUUUACAAUUAAUGUUGGUUUAAAUUUAUGGUUGUUAGAGAUUGAAAUAUUUUUGUAUGGGCAUGGUGCAGUUUUGUACUAAUUACCCACCUUUAAAUUUGUCUGUUUGUCUAUCAACAUAAACAAUUUUUUAAGAUGUAGCUAAAUUAUUCAUUCCAAAAUCCACUUUUAACAAGGUCCAUUUCAAUAACCAUUUUUAAAAUUAAUUCUAAAUCAACAUCCAUUUAAAUCCAUUUUAAACCAACUCAAGUGAAAUCCAAGUACUGAUACAUUAAUCCAUUGAAAUUCUGAUACUAUUUAUAGAUAUGAUGUCAAAACUAUACAUUAAUAUGCAAAUUUCAUUACAGAACUCUUGCAAAGUACAAGUACGGUUACAAACGAAUUUUAGCUUCUCUGAACCGGAAAACCAUUUAAAUCGGACCCGUGAUUAAAAAAACAUUUGGCUGAAACUACCUACGCCUGCGACCCUCGCCUAGUCUGUAGCAACAUGAAGUAUUCCAUUUAUACUGCAAAUUUCACUGAUGCAUCUGCGUAAUUAAACUUGGCUUUUUUCACAUGCAUGUGCAAAACAUAGCUUUGGAAGAUGAGAUUUGGAUCACUUAUAUUUCUGUUGGUUAGAGAUGCAGGAGGAGAACGUGGAUCAAAGUAGUUGUACUCUUUCCUCAAGUUCCACCCUUACUCAGCGUACAAGUUUAGGAACAGCGACAGUGCAGCAUAAAAAAAGAACCCGGGAUAGUGACUGUGACAGCCGUUUUUAUUCUCCCACUAAUAUGAAUGAAGAAGAACUUUUUAAUCAGCUGUUCAAAGCUAGACUUGGACAUUCUCCAUAUGACAAAUACGACGGGUGGUCUGAUAUUGCCUUGGGGAGCAAAUUGUGAAAGAAUUGGGAAGUCAUAGUCUAUUUCACAAUCACACGAUAACCGACGUGUUGGAAGUUGUCAUCAAAUAUUAUAAGGAGUAUACAAGUGACCCUGGAUUGACUCAAAAGCGGUUGAGUCGUUCUCUCAAGCUCAAUAUUCGUCAAGUGUUUGACUCCUUUACUGACAAAUAUGGCUCUCUAGCAUUUGAUGCCCUUGAAACAGUGCACUCUUUAGUUAGGCCGGAAAACAGCCUGAGUGAUGAAAUCAUACGGUACAAAAAUGAUGUCUUGGAAGAACUCAUUAAGGUUUGUGAGGAGAAGGCGGGAAGGAUUCUCAUCCUUCCCUCCACAUCAGAUAGAAGGGGAAUUAGAGAGUAUAGGAAGGAGGAGGAAUUCUAUCAUGGGCACAAGCACAAAUAAAUUUCAUUUAGGCACACUCACAACAAUGUAUAAAAAUUAAAGAAAAAACAAUUAAAGUGAUAUUGAUUGAUGUGACCAUUUUAUUUUUCUUUUAAUUUUUUAAAUUCAUGUGUGUGUGCCUAAAUUUGUGCCUAUAUGUCUUGUGCCUAUACAAGAAUACCUCUAGGAAGGAGAGGAGUUAUGCGGGGCCUGUAGCACUGCAAUAUGGUGAAGAUUUGACUGCUCUGGGAAUUACUAAUGAUACGAAGUUUUGGUUACUCCAAAAUUGUAAUCCAAACUCUGUUGAAUAUAUAGCUUUGGUAAAUCAGCCUCUUCAAACAAGACUCGAUUAUUUUCGGAGACUUCUUGAACAAGCUGCUAUACUUGAAGCCGAAGGUUCCAGCCACCAGUGCUAAGUCUUCUAAAAGAAGAAAAGAACCAAGGAUCAAUUCCUAGGCUAGGUUGUGAUGCUCAUAUUGCUGUUGUCCCAGGUGCUGCAUGUCCGCCUCUGCUGCCCCAACCGGCCUCGGAUUCUAUUAGGCACUUGGAUUAUGUUGCAUAAGCUAUUUGCAUAAGCUCAAAAAAAGCUAGGCCAAACGGAUCCUUGGUCACAUGACAUGGUCGAAACUGCUACAUUACAUAAUAUGCGAAUUCCUGUUUUUGAGUACAAAGAUUGCUGAGACUGGAUAUGUUCGGUUUCAUUUUGCUCCAAAAAUAGGGCGGAAUGAAUAUCAGAUUUGUUAGAAUUGUGUCAAUUAAAAUUAGAAUGAAUAAACUAGACCCGUUAUUUGAUUUCUUUACUUGAAUUUUCAAAUCGUAAAGAUUUAUAUUA